UCCUGGAGGGCUGACCGGGCAUCCUCAUUGGUGUAGUUCGGUUGGGGCGCCAGAAGACGACAGUCUUCGGGGUUCCAGAUCGGAUUCCCGGUCACCUUGGCGGACCCGCCAUCGCAUUGAGACUUCGAAAGUGCGUACGAAGUCACGAGUGACCUCCGUUGCGUGCGCGGACUAAUAUCGAACGCAAGAUGUUAUCGGUCGAGGUCAGAUUUUCGACCCCCUCGACCCAGCCGAACCUCCAUCUAGUAAGUGUGACGUUCGUGAAACCGAAUAUCAUCCGGAGAAGUGCGUGUUACUCACGUGUUACGCGUUAUUUUCAUCGCAGUUUUAACCGCCCCGACGACCAUUCCCACGACUCUAACGUUUCUCUGCAGUUACUUAACCUACCUGCACACCACCUGCGACAAUCGCGUGCGAUAAGAAACUGCUAAGCUGCCCAUAUCGAACCUCUGCGUGUUGCUGGGAAACGAGAUCUAAAAUUCGCUGGGAGAGCUGGACCCAGAAGAUGAGUCUCAACCUCCGUUGCGGACUUGGUCCGGAGCCUGCGAGCUGGUGAGCAAUCAGUUUUGGCCAAUCUCGAGACUGCUAAUCACGAAACGUUGAUUGCCCCCUGAAACCACGCGGGGUGCCAUGGCAGGCCACAGACGAGAGACGUUCCUCUCAAAGGUGCUUCGAGGUUUACUGCCGGUAAAUCCCUGCAGCCGCCUCGCACCGCCUUAUAGUCUAGCUGCAGGAAAUGAAUUUUCAGCAACUCCAUAUGCCGCCCACGUAGCUAUGGGUAUACCUGCCUUUGGCUGCCGGGCAAUUUCAACCCACGUGCGACCCGCGGGAUGAAAAGUUUCCAAAUUUUCACCAAAAUUCGUGUGUGAUG